rnacentral:lncRNA from 1 species
UUUUCUUUUCGUUUUCUGUUUUUUUUUUCGAUUUUCGUUUUUUUUUCUUUCAUUUUUUUUUGUUUGCAUAACACGUGGGCUUCGCCUAGCGAGCAUGACAGCUCAUGAACAAACCUUUGCUCCUUCAAGAUUAACAUUUUGACUGACGAAUAGACCCCUGUUGGAAGUAACUCAAGUCUUUCCCUUGUGUUGACUGAUCAUCUAAAUAGAACCCACAAAGUGUCCUGGAUGAUGUUCAAGCUUCUUGGAGCUAAUCCCGAUUGACAUGAUGAAAU